UACAGAGGGUGCGAGCGUUAAUCGGAAUUACUGGACGUAAAGCGCACGUAGGUGGCUUUGCAAGUCGAUUGUGAAAUCCCCGGGCUUAACCUGGGAACUGCAGUCGAGACUGCUCUGCUUGAGUAUGGGAGAGGGAGGUGGAAUUUCCGGUGUAGCGGUGAAAUGCGUAGAUAUCGGAAGGAACAUCAGUGGCGAAGGCGACCUCCUGGACCAAUACUGACACUCAAGUGCGAAAGCGUGGGGAGCAAACAGG
rnacentral:rRNA from 1 species